GAGUUUGAUCUUGGCUCAGAUUGAACGCUGGCGGCAUGCCUUACACAUGCAAGUCGAACGGCAGCGCGGGGCAACCUGGCGGCGAGUGGCGAACGGGUGAGUAAUAUAUCGGAACGUACCCUGGAGUGGGGGAUAACGUAGCGAAAGUUACGCUAAUACCGCAUACGAUCCAUGGAUGAAAGCAGGGGACUGCAAGGCCUUGUGCUCCAGGAGCGGCCGAUAUCUGAUUAGCUAGUUGGCGGGGUAAAAGCCCACCAAGGCAUCGAUCAGUAGCUGGUCUGAGAGGACGACCAGCCACACUGGAACUGAGACACGGUCCAGACUCCUACGGGAGGCAGCAGUGGGGAAUUUUGGACAAUGGGCGCAAGCCUGAUCCAGCAAUGCCGCGUGAGUGAAGAAGGCCUUCGGUUGUAAGUACUC
rnacentral:rRNA from 1 species